CCUAGGGGUGGCAGCAGUGGGGAAUAUUGGGCAAUGGGCGCAAGCCUGACCCAGCAAUGCCGCGUGAAGGAAGAAGGCUUUCGGGUUGUAAACUUCUUUGACAGGGGAAGAGCAGAAGACGGUACCCUGAAAACAAGCCACGGCUAACUACGUGCCAGCAGCCGCGGUAAUACGUAGGUGGCAAGCGUUGUCCGGAUUUACUGGGUGUAAAGGGCGUGUAGCCGGGCUGACAAGUCAGAUGUGAAAUCCGGGGGCUCAACCCCCGAACUGCAUUUGAAACUGUUGGUCUUGAGUAUCGGAGAGGCAGGCGGAAUUCCUAGUGUAGCGGUGAAAUGCGUAGAUAUUAGGAGGAACACCAGUGGCGAAGGCGGCCUGCUGGACGACAACUGACGGUGAGGCGCGAAAGCGUGGGGAGCAAACAGGAUUAGAUACCCGUGUAGUC
rnacentral:rRNA from 1 species